GACGAACGCUGGCGGCGUGCUUAACACAUGCAAGUCGAACGGAAAGGCCCUGCUUUUGUGGGGUGCUCGAGUGGCGAACGGGUGAGUAACACGUGAGUAACCUGCCCUUGACUUUGGGAUAACUUCAGGAAACUGGGGCUAAUACCGGAUAGGAGCUCCUGCUGCAUGGUGGGGGUUGGAAAGUUUCGGCGGUUGGGGAUGGACUCGCGGCUUAUCAGCUUGUUGGUGGGGUAGUGGCUUACCAAGGCUUUGACGGGUAGCCGGCCUGAGAGGGUGACCGGCCACAUUGGGACUGGGAUACGGCCCAGACUCCUACGGGGGGCAGCGGUGGGGAAUAUUGCACAAUGGGCUGAAGCCUGAUGCAGCAACGCCGCGUGCGGGAUGACGGCCUUCGGGUUGUAAACCGCUUUCGCCUGUGACGAAGCGUGAGUGACGGUAAUGGGUAAAGAAGCACCGGCUAACUACGUG
rnacentral:rRNA from 1 species